UAGAGAUAGCUGGUUAUUCAAGAAAAGGAUCUAAGUCCAACUUUAAGUCUUUGCAUAAAAUCAAAUACACUCACAGACUUAAAUUUCAUUCAAAUAAGGUACAGCCUAUUUGAAAUAGGGUACAACCUAUCACACAGGGUAAUGCCUCUGCCACGUGACUAAGUAGGCCUAAGAGCAACCAUCUUCUAAAAAGCGUCACAGCUUUCUCACUUUUAUUACCAAUCCCAACCAACACUCAAACCCCUUCACCCCCAUUGAAUGACUCCAUGCCCCCAUGGAAAACCCCAUGCUAGAACUAGUAACAAGAAUAGCCAUUCUCCUACAACGUAAGUGUAAACCGGACUGAACACCUCACCGGCACCUACCGCCUAUGAGCCAACAGUAGCAACCACCCAAGAAAAGCCUACUUAUCCCAGCGUUAAUCUUACACUAGAACCUUUCAGGAAAGAUUAAAAAAUGCGGAAGGAACUCGGCAAACAACAACCCCGCCUGUUUACCAA
rnacentral:rRNA from 1 species